rnacentral:rRNA from 1 species
AGGAUUAUAUACCCUGGGAGUCUACGCUGCAAACUAUGGACGCUAGUUGUUAUACGUAUCGACCCGUGUAGUAGCGAAGCUAACGCGUUAAGCAUCCCGCCUGUGGAGUACGAGCGCAAGCUUAAAACAUAAAGGAAUUGACGGGGACCCGCACAAGCGGUGGAGCGUGUUGUUUAAUUCGAUGAUAAGCGAAGAACCUUACCCAGGCUUGACAUCCUGCUAAUUUCUGCGAAAGCAGAGAGUGCCUUCGGGCCGCAGUGACAGGUGUUGCAUGGCCGUCGUCAGCUCGUGUCGUGAGAUGUAUGGUUAAGUCCAUCAACGAGCGCAACCCUUAUAGUUAGUUGAAUUUCUCUAGCUAGACUGCCCUGGUAACAGGGAGGAAGGAGGGGAUGAUGUCAGGUCAGUAUUACCCUUACGUCUGGGGCUACAAACACGCUACAAUGGCCGGUACAAAGGGCUGCCAACCCGCGAGGGGGAGCAAAUCCCAUCAAAGCCGGUCUCAGUUCGGAUAGCAGGCUGAAACUCGCCUGCUUGAAGCUGGAAUCGCUAGUAACGGUAGGUCAGCAUUACUACCGUGAAUACGUUCCCGGGUCUUGUACACACCGCCCGUCAAACCAUGAAAGUCGCCAAUAUCUGACGUGCUCACUUGUUGAGC